rnacentral:lncRNA from 1 species
AUCCUGGUUAUGGAUCUGAAUCCGGUUAUGGGAGGAAACCGGAAUCUGAGUACGGAUCUGGCUAUGGUGGACAAACGGAGGUGGAGUAUGGUCGGAGACCUGAGCAGAGUUAUGGAUCUGGUUAUGGUGGAAGGACGGAGACUGAAUCGGAGUAUGGAUCUGGUGGUGGUGGAAGAACUGAGGUUGAGUAUGGUAGGAGACCUGAAUCAGGGCUUGGAUCUGGUUAUGGUGGGAGAUCGGAGUCUGAGUAUGAGCGUAAGCCUAGCUAUGGAAGGUCUGAGGAACAAGAAGAAGGUUAUAGGAAGCCUAGCUAUGGAAGAUCUGAAGAACAAGAGGAAGGUUACAGGAAGCCAAGUUAUGGAAGAUCUGAGGAGCAGGAAGAAGGAUAUAGAAAGCCUAGCUAUGGAAGAUCUGAGGAGGAACAAGAGGAAGGUUAUAGGAAGCCUAGCUAUGGAAGAUCUGAGGAACAAGAGGAAGGAAGUUACAGGAAACCUAGUUAUGGGAGGUCUGAUGAUCAGGUGGAGAGUUACAUUAAGCCUAGCUAUGGAAGAUCUGAGGAACAGGAGGAGGGAAGUUACAGGAAGCCUAGUUAUGGGAGGUCUGAGGAACAGGAAGAGGGGAGUUACAGGAAGCAGCCUAGCUAUGGCCGUGGCAAUGACGAUGAUGAUGAUGAGCAGCGUAGGAACCGUUCUGGUUCUGGUGAUGAUGAGGAAGGGAGCUAUGGCCGCAAGAAAUAUGUAAGUUGAAGAAAUUAAUAUUUUGUUGAAUCCUUUGGUGAUCAUAUUGUAGAGUGUAGAGUAAUCCAAAGUUUAUAUCUUUAGUGAUUGUUUUAUGAUCAUUCAUGAUUUAGCCAUCUAUAAACAUCAUUAUAAAGAACCUGUCUAAAGUCUUUGUUUGGAUACAUACAUGUCAACGAAAUGUAUCUGUUUCACAGUUUACAUGAAUAGAAAGCUAGUUCUAGGAUUCCAUUUGACUUUGGUGGUGUAGUAUUCGAUUGAAUAUGGACAACAUUUCGUUUGGUUGAAUUAUGCAUAGCUUGCAUCUAGGUUGUGUGGAAAUUAAGUUUGAUUGGUUAGCACUGAAAACCCUUUGUUGAUCAUAGUGUAGAGUAACUCGUUAUUGAACUAAAGUUAUAUCUUUAGUGGUGGUUCUUGUCGAUUAAUGAUUUAGUCAUCUGUGAACAUCCAUUAAGAAGAACAAUGUUGUCUAGUUACAUACUUACAUGUCAACAUUAUUUUAUUGAAUUUGGCCAUCUUGAGGAUAUCUGAAGGUCUCUCUUUCCUUUCUUAUGGUCAUAGUUCAUAGCAGCGGCAUCAUUAACCUGAUGUCAUUGUAUGGGUCAUUACAUAGGUUACACUUUUGACGUAGUCCUAAUUAUUUCCAAUACACAAUUUGCAGGGUGGCAAUGACUCUGAUGAGGAUGAGGAGAAGAAGAAGCACCGUCACAAGCAUCACCACCAGAAGCGUCGUGACGAAGACGAUGAGUAAACUAAACCCUCUCUGUGCUAGAGAGUGUAAUGAGAAUGUGUGUUUGCUUAGCCUCAAAAAUCUACUAAAUAAAGAGCUAAGUCACAUAC